CCCGGAACAGAAGUAACACUUCUCGAUCCUCAUGUUGACUCCGCGUGGGACCCACCUCCCGGGAGCCGAGCUUGAGAGGAAGUGAUGUAAAACGUCACUUCCUAGCCGCCGGAAGCAAUUCUCUGACACGACCAGGAAAUGGUCCUUGGAGCGCGCACUGAGCGUAAAGGCACCUCCCGAAGAACGCAUGCGUGGCAGCAUCGCCGCCGAGCACACGCUCGGAGGCUUUAGUCUGCAUCCGUGUGUUUUGACUCAGUGUCCCUGGCCAUCUUCUGUACCUGCGCUUUAAGCGUCGCAGAAUUUGUCCGUGUAUACUUACGUUAUUGUGGUUUGUGUGUUUGCCGUGAGUACGCUCCUCGUGGCCAAGUCUCCUUUACCCCAGGCUUGCCUUCCCCAAAAGACUUGGCAGGAGUACGCCGCAAGAACCUCCCUCCCCAGCCUCGGAAGACAAACCGUCACGUUCACGGUGUAUGUGUGCUGUGCCAACCAAGGCCAGAAGAUGGCGUAGGAUUCCCUGGAACCGGAGUUAAUAGUUGUGAACCUCCUCAAAGAGCAGCCGGUGUUCUUAACUACUGAGUCAUCUCUUCAGCACCUCAUUCUGUUUUUGAGGUAGACAUCUCAAUAUGUAAUUGAGCUUACCUGGAAAUCACCAUCCCCCUGCCUCCAUGCUGGCAUUGUGGAGGUGUGUCACCUUACCUGUCUCGUUAUAUGUUGAUCACAUAUUGGAAUAUUUAAAGUAUGUUUAAAUAAAUCAUACUGAUAAA